AAAAAAGAAAAUAAAAAAGAUAUUUUAAAGCAUUGGAUCUAGCAUUUUUUGCAUUGUUUAUUGUGGAACAGACUAAUACACAUCAAUUAUGGAUAUACAGUUACAGGAAAGGAAAGAGAAGGAGAGGAGAGAGAAAGAUUAAUAAGCAUUUAUGUUGCUUUGUAUCUUUAUAUAUGUUUUAUAAAUUUGGGAGAGAAAGUUCAUGAGACUUUUGCAAAGUAACUGUAAUAUAGAAAAAAAAGUCUUGAAAAUAUUUAUAUAAUCCAUUAACUUCUCUAGGUACUUGCAUCCUUGAAGUAAGCUGAGCUACCAGAAAGUGAUAUAUUUGGUACACAUUAGCAUAUCCCUAAGAGAGUAAUGUUUACCUUCAGCUUUUAUCAAAUGUCAUCAUAUAAUCAGGCCAUAUGAAAUUUAGUGUUUUAUAGGUUAUAAAAAUGUAGUUGAGGUCAGUGUUUAUUACAUCCAUUCACUGCCCUCAAGGAGUUACACAAUGGCUUAAAGCCAAAUUCUCACACCAGCUUUGGCAACAAGGGUUGAGCCUUAUACUGUGUAUAAUUAUGCUCUUCUUUUUAUCUGAUCCUGAUUUUUUAUUUUGUUUUGGUUUGCUGUGUUACAAACUGCCUCAAAUCUUCAAGGAAAAAAAAUCAAAUAGAUUUUGUCAAAUGCACAUUGGACAGAAGAGAAUUCCGGAUUUCAAAGUUAAAUUUUCUAAAAUAUGAUCAAGCUGAGGAAUGAUUAAACCACCUGUCCUAUGAGUCUCUAGGCUAUGGAGAGGGACCAAAAAAUUCAAGAAAAAGCUAUAAAAUGGAGAUGCUGACAGUAUCAAUACCCUAGGAUUUCUGCAAGAGGUUAAAAAGUUAAGGAGCACCUGGGUGGCUCAGUUGGUUGGCUUUAAGAACUUCAAAAGCUGCAAGACGCGUAAAGUUUAUCUGGAUUAUCUCGUCAUUUGGAGCAUUCAAGUGUCUGCUUCAAUAUGCCUUAGAAUCACGAUUGCCAAAUGAGAGCGAUACUUUGUGCUUCUCACAUAGCUUCUUCCCAAGCAUCCCAAAGCACUGGAGAAGUGUUACUUUUGCCUCCCUUCACUUCUCUGAAGAAACUCAGGAUAAAAUCCUGGACAAUUUGACUCACAAAAAUUAUCAGUUAAUCCAAAGAUAAACUGUCAAGGGCCUGCUUCCUCAAAUAGACAUGUUCUUCUUCCUCAUUCAUUCUUCCAGAAGACAUGAAUUCCACAGACUCCAAGAGGAAUAUGGAAAUUAAUAAAAACUCACUCUAAAUAAAGAGCAUAUAGAUGCAAAGAAGAACUUACUUAUAUCUUAAAAAAUUCCAGACUUCUUGGCCUCCUAUGGAAUAUAGCAUACUUUUUUUUCAUAUCUUUGUUGGCCUUUCAACUUUUAAAAGUAAACGAUAGUCCCUUCCUAUUUAAAUUCAUAACAGGAAUGCAACCACAAAUAAAUGAUUUCCUUAAAUAUAUGUCUGUAGCUAUGCUAUGUGACACUAAUUUAUAUCAGCUUUAGAGAUUACUGGGUGGAAGCCAUUCUUUUUAGCCCCCAUCGUCUACUUACCAACAUGAGGCAUCCACAUGGUAUACAUUCCACCCAAGAUUAUUUUGUAAUCAGUGAUAGUGACGAAGGGAAAGACUUCGGUCUCCUUACCCUCACCCUAUACUGUUACAUAACCCAGACUAUUUUUUGUUCAUUACUUUCAUUCCCAAAUUAUGAUUUGGUCACACAAGUUUCCUGUACAUACAUUUACUUUAUGUAAAAAUUUUGGAUAUUUUGAAAGACUGAAUCAUCUUCAUUUAUCGUCAAUACCUUAAAGCCAUUUUUUGUUUCUUGCUGCAAUAUAUCUUUUUGUAGUCGAUCUUCGCUUCUUUGAAAAAAUUUCCUUAGAUGUUUGCUUAUUUAUAUGCAUAAUUUUAAAAGCCUGGAAGAUCUAAAAAGCCAAGCAUUACUAGCUGAUAUCUAGAUAUGUUUAAGAGACCUACUCACUCAUUUAGCAAGAUAAAUUACAAUGAAUUUUUAUAUAUAUGAACGAAUAUAUGUUAUAUCUUAAAAACAUGGAUUUAUUUUCCUCCCUCAAAUGUGGAACUUUUUGGUUUUAUUUUUAUCCCACACAUUUAACUUUGAAAUAAGUAGAUUGCCACAUACCAUAGUAAUUGUGGAUGGACAGGGGUCACCAGGAAACAAUAAAACUGUCAACACAAAGUAAUGACAACUGAGCACAGGGUAGCAAAUAGGACAUGAGUGUUUUAUGAGGAAAGGUCAGGAGGUUCAAGUCACAGGGAAGAAAGAUGAUUUCGCCAUCCAAACUGAACACACUUUACAAGUUAAUUAGGCUGCUAGAACUUGUUCCAGAUGGUGGAGAAAUCAAGUGUGAGACAGAUAGAUACCAGCAAGACAAGUCAGGGUGAAACACAAAGUAAAGUCUGAUCUUGGGGAGAUCCGGGAGCAAGCAGGACAUUGGGGAGAGGAAGCAACAGAGACACAGGACAUGGAGCCAUGGGAGACAAGGCCAACAUGAGGGCUGAGGUCUGGGCUGAGAGGCCGCACAGAGGACCAGGACACGGAAGGAGCACAGUGCUCUCAAGACAGCCUGCCGGCCACAGCCACCGCUCACACAAUUAACUCUUCAUCACUAGCUCUUUGUGGCUGGCCAGUACAGAUGUAGACAAGGACUAACCUUCAGAACCGGAUGUGAUGCUAUGCCUGGGGAUUUCCCAGUUAAGUUAAGAGACAUUGAUUCAAAAAAUGACAUGCCUGGACACUCUAUGUGUCUCAAUCUGCUGACUCUGAA